UGUUAUAUCUGUGUGUAUUUUUAUUCUUUGUUCUCGUUAUUUUUCCUUUUAUGCUUUUAAAUUGUUAAGAUGCAGAUCUUUGUGAAAUUGUUUCCUUUCAUAGUUUUAAAUCCUUAUGAUGUGACGCGGUUUCCUCUAAUGCUUUUGGGUCCGUGUGAUGCGAACUGUUUGUGUCCUUUGUGACGCGGAAGUCUGAAAUGUUUCAAGGAUUACCUAUAUAAGGACGAGAAAGAAGGACAACGAGGCUUUUUUUUUUUUUGCCGACGUCACCGCGGCUCUGGGAAACUACGAUGCUCGGAACACUUAACUACACGGACGCCUUCUGCCUUUCGUUUUUUGGACCGGUUGGAACUUUCGCUAACUCGGAAUACCCGCCGGGACGAACAUUUGCUCGUUUGGGAACACUCGUUCAACAAUGCUAGAAUUCUGACCCACGAAGACCUGUUUGGAAGGAGCUGAAACUCCGUGUUUCUCAGCGACAGCCCAGAAAACCUCGAACGAAGAUCUGUGUGGAGGACUGGGCCAAAAUCCUUCCUGCAGUGUGUGCAAACCUGGUGAACAACGACAGGAAACGUUUCACCUCUGUAAUUGCAAACAAAGGCUACUGUACCAAAUGUUAACAUUGGUUUUCUCGGGUGUUCAAAUACUUAUUUGCUGCUCUAUCACACAAGUAAAUCGUUUAAAAAAAAAAAAAA